rnacentral:lncRNA from 1 species
ACGCUCACUGCGAAGGUCUGUGGCUUCACUCCUGAAGUCAGCAAGACCACGAACCCACCGGAAGGAGGAAACAACUCCGGAAGCACCACGUUUAAGAGCUGUAACACUCACUGCGAAAGUCUGCAGCUUCACUCCUGAAGUCAGCAAGACCACAAACCCACCGGAAGGAAGAAAUUCCAGACACAUCUAAACAUUGGAAGGAACAAACUCCAGACACACUAUCUUUAAGAACUGUAACACUCACCGCGAGGGUCUGUGGCUUCAUGCUUGAAGUCAGCCGGACCAAGAACCCACCGGAAAGAACCAAUUCCUGACACAAUCGUUCUUCAUGGUCUAUGACUCCAAGGUCUGAAAUGAUCUCAUUUACCCCACAUGAUAGAUGUGGCCCUUCCAGAUGAGGAGUUCAACAAGACUACAUGGUAGAGCAGCCAGAGAACCCACUGGAAAUAAGGCUCAAAAUAAGGAGUAACCACAAAAUAAGAGACAGAGAAUGCUGAUUCACUAUGCAGUGAAACAUGCCUAACGUGUCAACAGCUAAAUGCCCGGUGACAGUGUGGUUGUCUGGGCAACAGAAGAAGUCACCCACGCAAACACUUAAAGGACCAUACUUAUUUUACAAGAGGAACAGUUUUCAAUGGAAUGGAUAUUAAAACACACACCUGGAUCCCUUUACCACAGGUGCUUUGAGAGGCACCAUCAAGGACAGUGAGCUAACGCAGGAGAAUGGAGUCCCAGAAACCUAGGAGGAGAAGACAAAGUGUCAGCCUCUCGGCAUCUGCAGUGUUGCUAGGAAAAGAGCUCUGAUCCCAGGGGCUUACCCACUUCCACAGGUAGGAAGCGUCCCUGAGAGGACUGGAACAUUAGCAUAUCUCAGAUCCAUCUGCAAAACUUUUGCAAACACGGAACUCCCUCGUUCUAAUCUUAUCAGCAACUUCCAGAGCUGAACCUUGAUUAAUCUGGAUACAAAAAGGAUUGAAACGCCACAUAAUAAGCAUUAACAGGAGGGUGUUUCCUUUAUCAAUGAAGCUUGAUUUAUCCAUGAUGAUCUAGUGCAUUCUCCUCCCAAAAAUCAGGAUCAUCCUCUGCAUAUGAAGGAACAGACAAGCCCUCAGCUCUACCACUUUGGAGAGGGGGGGAUUGGACAGCAUGAGCCUUCAAUUGUAUCUCUUGGAUGACCAAGGAAGGCUGGAUUUCUGCACCUAAAAAAUGGAAGCACAAACUGUACAACAAAUACUCUCCAUUCAAGUUGAAGUUCUCAAAUAAGGUUCUUUUCAAGGUGUUGGUGACACAGAUAUGAGGAAAACAGAGUUGACUCAUGGUGAUGGAGCUUACAUUCUAUGGGGCAAGAGUGAGCAGAGGUUUUGAAAGGUUCACUCCAGCUACUCUGUUGACAAUGGAUUAUAGAAGACUGAACAUGGAAUCCAGGAGACCAGUCAGAAAACUUCUUCAGGAAUCCAGCACAGUCUUGGCCUGUUCUGGAGAAUGCUCCCCAUCAAAAAUAAUUGACUGGAGACAAGCCAAGUCAGGAUUCUCCCUGGGAUCAAUUUCUG